UACGGAGGAUGCAAGCGUUAUCCGGAAUGAUUGGGCGUAAAGCGUCCGUAGGUGGCGAUUCAAGUCUGCUGUUAAAGCGCAGGGCUUAACCCUGUAAAGGCGGUGGAAACUGGAGAGCUAGAGUGUGGUAGGGGUAGAGGGAAUUCCCGGUGUAGCGGUGAAAUGCGUAGAGAUCGGGAAGAACACCAGUGGCGAAAGCGAUCUACUGGGCCACAACUGACACUGAUGGACGAAAGCGAGGGGAGCGAAUGGG
rnacentral:rRNA from 1 species